GGGGGGAAAGAGAAAGAGUUUGUAUUGUAACUACAUUUUUUAUGGUAUGAUAAAAAAUAAAAAGCUUCCAAACCUUAUUUAUAGUAAUACUGGACUCCCAGUUCUAAUCAAAUGCAAAAGCCAUGAUAAUACCAAGAAAUAUGGAAAGCCGAAAGCAGUUAUGAGAGAAAAUUUAAGAUACUUUUGUUGUAAGUAAUAAUUCAAAUGCUAAUCUAUAACUUACUAAUAGAGUUUUGCAUUUACUGUUCGUUAGGAUUUUUAGUUUACAGUUCAUCAAGAGCAUUUUGUUGUCCAGAACCCCUAUUCUUCAAGGCCUGAUACCAUAGCCCUGAUCCAGCUAUCCAGCUGCAAGCUGGAACACCUCUCACUGAUGAUGUUGUGUGUGCAUCUUCCCCUUUGCUCUGGUUCGCCUAUGGCGUAGAACCGCUAGGCCUUCGCAUCAAUCAUCUGGAUUAUCGAUGGAUUAGGCUUGAUAGGUGCCUCAAAGAUCAUCUGUUCUGGAUUCUUUCUGUAUUUGUGUGUAAAUUUCAAAUCCAUGGAACCAGCUGCAUUCACCCUUUUUAGCCACACCCUAGCUCAGAAAUCUUGCUUUGGAUUCUGCUUUACAGGUUGUUUGAUUUGAUACAAUCAAUAUCUUGAUGGCUUCUAGCUUUCCAUGCUCUGUGGCUCCAGUUGCAGGUAGAUGUUUAUUUAUAAACCUUUGGUUGUGUUGUUUCUCAUCAGUUGCUAGUUCAUUCAGGUGGGAUCUGAGACGGUGAGGCGGUCGGAGAAGUUGCAGAAGAGGACUAUAGCGGUGGUGAACCAUCUACGCCAUUUGCAAUUCAGCUGCUUAUUAUUGAUGCUGAGGCAAUUACUACUCCAGAUUUAUGAUUAUUUGUUGUUACAUGUUAAAAAAUCUUCAUGGUUACUGAUGAUAUUUCUCUAUCUCAUGCCGCUCGACUCUCCUUAUUACUGACUCUGGACGGCAGAGAUCCAUCAUCAGAUUUGCUCCGACUACUCCACACCGAGGUAUCAUCUAUCAAUUUUCGAAAAUAUACAGCUUCGGCUGUCACCUUUUGUCUAUAUAGGUCCUUCUGGAAGCUUUCUUCUUAAGAUCGUAGCUUAUCAAGUGCAUGGUUCGUCCAGUCGUACUUAUUUCAUUGUUAUUGGAUGGACUUCGCCAGAAAUGCUGCAAAAUUUCAGAAGAUUGGAAUGAGACCUUUUGAUGGGAUACCUUUACUCUAGGAAGAUUAUGACUUAUUCAUCUCCAAUUACUAAGAUUCAAUGUGUACCAUGAUUUGUAUCAUUUAACAUAUUGGUGUUGGAAAAUGUAUGAGUCCUUACUGCAAAGGAGCAAAAGAAUAGACCAGGUAAGCUGUUUGUCACAAAUAGCUUUGGUUAUGGACUGCGUUAGUUGACUUGAGUUUGUGCAUUUGGAUUCUGUUAGUAUUAGUAAACCUUCUAUAUAAGGUUGUGUAAUUCAUUCUGAUUUCAAUUGAAUAAGAACAAUCAUUCUCUCAUACCAUCUUCUCUGUUACUGGACUCCCAUUUCUAAUUAAAUGCAAAAGCUAUUCAUGAUAAUACAAAGAAAUAUGGAAAACAAUUCUGAGAGAAAAUUUAAGAUAAUUUUGUUGUAAGUAAUAAUUCAAAUGCUAAUAUGAUAAUAACUGUCAGUGGAUAGUUAGGACAGUUAUAAUAGCUAUAGUAGAUAGUUAGGACAGUUACAAUAAAACAGGUUAGUGUUGUUUAAACUUUAAAUGCUGCUUUGUUUCAGAUUCUUGUACUAACAGGUUAGUGUUGCAUUGACAGUUCAACACUAACCUUUUUUGAACAGUUCAAGACUUUUCUCCUUUUCUAGUAUUUUCCCUAUCCGAUCAUCUGGUGAGAACUUCCAAGGAACACAUUUUCCUUCUUUUACAUUUUGCUCGAAGCCCCAAUCUGCCAAGGCAUCCGCACUCUCAUUUUCACCUCUUGAAACACGCGUAAUCUCGUAGCUUUUAAAUUCCUUUGCUUUUGCACGGAUCUUCUUAAUCUGUGAACCCUUGGUGAUUUGUUAACAACCUUUGGACUCCCAUUAAGCACUUCCAUAAAAUUCUUAGAAUCUGUAUAGGCCUUCACUUCUAAACCAGCACAUGAAUUUCCUUUCUUUUUUUCUUUCCACCACUCCAUGCAUUGCAAUUAGGUUUGGCGUGCGGCAAUCGCCUCUGCUUUUGAGCUUCCACCCCAUGUAUGAAUUCGUUUUCUCCUAAUUUAAUGUAGAAUCCAAACAGAAAGUUUCCUCUGCUAUCCCGUAUAAUUCCAGCAGCGCAGCCUUUAUUCAAUUUCUUACAAUAGGUUGCAUCACUGUGGACAUAAACCACUGAUGAGCCAUCAUCAUCAGCCUUAGAAGCUGCUUCAUCUGUUGUUCCUGGUUGAGGAACGGUGUUAACUUCUGCUAGGUUCGGAUCCCCUCCCUGUGGCAUCAUUAACCAUUUAGAAAACAAAUCUUAACAUGAAAAAUCAGCACAUGAAAAACCAUGACACUUAAACUUAACAUGUUUCUCAAAAAUAAAAUCAUUACUAUUCUGCUUCUCGUGCAAAUUGCCACUGACAGAAAAUACAAGGAUACACUUUUUACCAUAGUUUUGGGGGUUAUGUGUAAGAAAAUGAAGUUGAUGUACCAUAGAGGGUUAGUGUAACCUUACCCUAAAAGUUGCAGAGUAUAUGAUUGCAUUUGAUGCACUCUAAAGGAUAGGACAAAUAGAGCAGCAGAUUACAAACAAUUGGAGAGCCUAGAACAUAUACUAUGCGGAAAACUAUGAAAAGAAACCAGUCCUUGAGUGGUUUCUAAGAAAGGUCCAGGUGCAUCUUCAACCGCCAAACGGAAGGAGAAGUGAAGAUGAUGAAGAACCAGAUUUUGAAGACAACUUUGAGGAUCAGGAAAGACAGAGGAAGAGAGAUAGACCUCAGGAUGGCAACGAAGUUGACUAUGUCAGGGUGGAAGAGGAGACAUUUAGAUUUCUACUUUGUAUUUUUCUUGUUUUCUAUCUUUUAUUGUUAUAAUGUUAGUUGAAACAUGAACUUGAUGGUUUUUACUUUCUAUUCAAUUUAUGAAACUUAUGGUGUUCUAUC